GAAGGGGUUGCACUUGCACCCCAACUGCAGAGGGGAAGCGGAUCGACUGGGGGAACGAGGGAGACGCUUGAAGUGGCGAUUGAGAUGCGAGGGUAUUUGUAGAGGAUUGACCAAUCCCCUGAUGAAUGUUAGAAAUUCAAAUGAUGCUUUAUAGUUUUCAAUCUGAAAAUCCCUCUCUCCAUUGCUGCUCGCUUUCCUCUUCCCUUCAAUCGCUCCUCUCUGGACCUUGUGAUGAUGGCUGAAGGUUCAAAUUGCUAUUUACUGCUUUCCCUUCUUCUUCUUCUUCUUCUGUUUUCAAUGAUAUGAACACGGCUUGAAGUUCUAAAAUCAGUAGGUUUAACCGACAUUUACAUAUUUCAAUCAAAUCAAACUUACGGUUAAUGGUUUUGUGAACUUCUGGUUAAAUUUUGAAGAUUCUUGAUUAUGUUAUACGAUUUUGGCGUAUUCAUCGAACGUGGCCUUCUUGAUCGAAGAACACGUCUAUCUAUCGUCGAUCGUGGACAUGUCUGAAAUCUAAGCUUUUGUCUAUGUUGCAAAGAAAGCCCCUGCUCGAUUAGACAAUGAAUAAAGUUAUCUGUUAAUUGUGAUUGAAAGGAGUUCUCUUAGGGUUUAUUCAAGGACGUCCUAAUCUUCGAACACUUCUUCGUAAUCAACUUGAUCCAAAAAGUCAUUUAAUCGCAAUCAAGACAUGUCUAUUAAGUCUAUCUUGUGUCACUGUAGAGAGCAAAUAGGAUUUCAACAACUUCAACUUUGAGAAACUUGUUUCUGCAUAGGCAACUGUUGCAGCCUUGCAGGAAUAAUCAACAUAACUCUAUAAGCAAUGAUAGCAAUAGGGAAACAUUUUACAUGCUUUAAAUACUUUAAAAUAUCAAUAGGUCCCAUAUUUUGAUUUGGUAAAUAAUCUUGAAGUAACUUCAAUUCCACAUAUAAGUUAUUCC